rnacentral:rRNA from 1 species
AUUGAACGCUGGCGGCAUGCCUUACACAUGCAAGUCGAACGGCAGCGCGGACUUCGGUCUGGCGGCGAGUGGCGAACGGGUGAGUAAUACAUCGGAACGUACCCUGUUGUGGGGGAUAACUAGUCGAAAGAUUAGCUAAUACCGCAUACGACCUGAGGGUGAAAGUGGGGGACCGCAAGGCCUCCCGCAGCAGGAGCGGCCGAUGUCUGAUUAGCUAGUUGGUGGGGUAAAGGCCCACCAAGGCGACGAUCAGUAGCUGGUCUGAGAGGACGAUCAGCCACACUGGGACUGAGACACGGCCCAGACUCCUACGGGAGGCAGCAGUGGGGAAUUUUGGACAAUGGGGGCAACCCUGAUCCAGCAAUGCCGCGUGUGUGAAGAAGGCCUUCGGGUUGUAAAGCACUUUUGUCCGGAAAGAAAUCGCGCUGGUUAAUACCUGGCGUGGAUGACGGUACCGGAAGAAUAAGCACCGGCUAACUACGUG